GCCAAGCACCAGGGCCAGCCUGGCCUCCUGCACUGCUCAGCCAGCAGCGCCUGCCACUGCCAUCAGGCCAGCACAGCCCACAGAGACAGGGACACAGCACAGAAACCUUCUCAUUUGUUAUUGACUUCUAGAAGAAGAUGAACAUUUUAACAACAGCUCCUGAAAGUGGAUGAGAACAUGCUGGAAAACUGAAGAAAAGAAACAAUGGCAAGCAAGGACAGCAC